CCGGUUGAUCCUGCCGGACCCCACCGCUAUCGGGGUGGGACUAAGCCAUGCGAGUCGGCGCCCUCCAGCCAACGGGGAGGGCGCGGCGGACGGCUCCGUAACACGUAGCUAACCUACCCUCAGGACGGGAAUAACCCCGGGAAACUGGGGCUAAUUCCCGAUAGGUGAGGAGGCCUGGAAUGGUCCCUCACCGAAAGGGCUCUGGAACCACGCUUCCAGAGCCGCCUGAGGAUGGGGCUGCGGCCGAUCAGGUAGUUGGUGGGGUAACGGCCCACCAAGCCUAUAACCGGUACGGGCCGUGAGAGCGGGAGCCCGGAGAUGGGCACUGAGACAAGGGCCCAGGCCCUACGGGGCGCAGCAGGCGCGAAAACUCCGCAAUGCGCGCAAGCGUGACGGGGCUACCCCGAGUGCCGCCCGCUGAGGGUGGCUUUUCCCCAGUGUAGACAGCUGGGGGAAUAAGGGGAGGGCAAGUCCGGUGUCAGCCGCCGCGGUAAAACCAGCA
rnacentral:rRNA from 1 species